AACGAACGCUGGCGGCAGGUCUUAGGCAUGCAAGUCGAACGGGUGAAGCAGAGCUUGCUCUGUGGAUCUAGUGGCGCACGAGUGAGUAACGCGUGGGAAACUGCCCACCACUGGGGGAAUAACGUUUGGAAACGAACGCUAAUACCGCAUAACAUAGUUUUGCCGCAUGACAGAACUAUCAAAGAUUUUAUCGGUGAAAGAUGGACUCGCGUCCGAUUAGGUAGUUGGUGAGGUAACGGCCCACCAAGCCGACGAUCGGUAGCCGGACUGAGAGGUUGAACGGCCACAUUGGGACUGAGACACGGCCCAGACUCCUACGGGAGCAGCAGUGGGGGAUAUUGCGCAAUGGGGGAAACCCUGACGCAGCAACGCCGCGUGAAGGAAGAAGGUCUUCGGAUCGUAAACCUUUUGUACUUCAGGGACGAAUUUUGACGGUACCUGAGGAGGAAGCCAACGGCUAACUACGUGCCAGCA
rnacentral:rRNA from 1 species